GGCCUAUUAGCUCAGUUGGUUAGAGCGUCGUGCUAAUAACGCGAAGGUCACAGGUUCGAGACUGUAUGGGCCA
rnacentral:tRNA from 1 species